rnacentral:lncRNA from 1 species
UCCUAAUAUUCAGGACCUCCACCAGGCCCCUCCAGUUGUUGUCAGUGGAUUUUCAGAAGCUUUUCUAAAAUGGUUUUAAAAACAGUUAAGUCGGUGACAUGAUAUGCAGUUGUUCAUUGGUUAAGGUGAUUCUAAUCCUCAACUGUAAUUCUUUUUUCUUUCUUUUUUUUUUUCUGAGGAAUGUUCUCCCUGAGCUGACAUCUGUGCCAACCUUCCUCUAUUUUUUAGUAUGUGGGCCACCGCUAACAGAGCAGUGUAGGUCCAUUCCCAGCCACCGAACCCGGGCCAUUGAAGCGGAGCACACCAGAUUUAACCACUGGGCCCUCUAAUUCAUUUUGAGUGCAGGGCAACAGGAGAAUCCUGAAAUCAUCAGUGGACUCCGGACUCCUCCGGUAUCAUCAUCCCCUGGGCCUUUGGACAAGCGCCUUUCAAUGUCAGUUACUGAGCACAUUCGGACACACCCAGUUCUGCCAGAGACCCUGGGGGAGUGACCUGCCUAUGGCCCACCUUUCCUACUUUUUCCUCCUCUGUUCUCAUUCAGUGCAAGCUCAGCCAUCACUGAUUUUCAAUCCUCUGAGCAUUGAAAUAACCCAGGAGCUUAAAAAAAACUGAUGUGGGAACUUCACCCGCAGGGAUUCUGACUGCUGCUGUAGGCUCAGACCCAAGCACAGGGGUGUCCUAAAAGUUCCCAGCGUGCUGCUCGUGCAGGCGGCAUUGAGAACCAAUGACCUAGAUUAAUCUUGAAACAGGAACUCUACUUGGAGAACUGGAGAAGACCUGACUUCUGGAAAUCCGGGCCUGACAGUCCAAUAGCACUGGUCUCUAAGGUGGUAUCAGACCUGCUUCGUUCAAAAGGAUAGAGGCUGAAGGCAUAAAGCCUAACGAGGCCAUAGCCAAGCAUCACCCCUGAAUUAAGCUGAUGACUUUGGACCAGAGCACUUGCUCAUGGGAAAUAAUCUGAUGACUGCACAGCGGGAUUGGGGCAGUUAUUCACGGAGGAGCAGAUUAACGUCUGUGGGGACGGAGACUAACUCAGAUUCUGUUCUCUGUCGCUCAUCUCAAAGACUUUAGGAAAAAGCAAAUAUUAUUUUAGGAGUUUAACGCACAGGAAACUUGAGGAAGGUUUAAGUUUUGUCCUUCCGUACAGUCCAACUGCCGGGACUCCUGACUCCCAGACUCCAGAGGUUAUCACAGUUGACACUGUGAAGCCAGACUUCCGAUUCCUGGUCCCUGCCCAGCCACCAGUCAGACAGCUGUGUGCCCUGCUUGGAUGUGUGCCUCGGUUCUCGGAGCCUCGGCUUCCUCAGAUGAAGUGAAGCGAACUAGAUGGUCUACCCAGGCUCCUUCAGCUUUAACAAGUGACACUAGGUGGCACUCAUGUAACUCCAAUGGGGAGUGGUUGGUGCUCGUUGACUCCCAGGCUCCAUCUGUCCCUUAAAAGACCCAGGGACAUGCGUGGUGCAACUUGGCAAAUAAUGCAGUUUUAGGAAGACUGCUUGGGUUCCCUUAUCAAGAAAAUCUUUUGAAUCUGUGGGUGCCUGUUGUAUUUUACCAGCUUCUUUCACUAAUUAUGUACUUUAGAUUGCAUAUUCUUUUCCUUUUUAUCAUCUCCCAUUCUAAAAUAUUGUAUAGAACACUACUUCUAUGGCCUACCGACAUUUUUGACAUUGUCCAGACACACACGCUGUGUGACAGAAAAGCACUACCUUAGCAGGGUCUAAGCUCUCCCAGCCACACGCCACUGCACGAGGAACUUCUCGGAGGAGAUCCACUGUCCCCACACGGAGCUCAAGCAGAAGGGAUCCUUCCCUGUGAUGACUCGCCUCUGGGCAGGGCCAGCCAGACAUGGCUCUUGUUCAAAGCCUUGCUCCCCUCAGCUGCUUUGUCCCAGUGUUUCCAGGAGGGUCGUCGUGGUCCAGGUUCAUUUCAAGAGUCUAGUCUGGCUCAACUGGGCUUCAGAGAGAGGCCUUCGGAGACGUGACUCAGAGGUGAGAGAGUGGGGAGCCUCCAGGAUCAGGAUAUUAUCCCAAAGGUGCUACUUUCCUCAUUGGUGAAAGUCAUCCAAGUCGCCUUUCACAUGCUUCUCCUCCAGUGGAGGACCCCAGCAGUGGUGUCCAAGAUUUAGCAACACAAUAAACUUGAAGGAACUGAGUUUGGGGUCUAACUCUGUGAGAUUGGAGAUUUAAAAGUUCCAUGUCGUUCAUUCAUUUGGGGAGUGAAAGGUGGAUUUCAGUGACUUUAUCACCUGUCAGAAUAAGAGGCCGUGGAAUUGCAUCCACUUCUUGGCUUGAAGUGUAGUCACGACUUCCAGACCCGGGGUGGGGUGUGCUGUGGUGUUAGGGUGAGGAAUGAAUGUACAUAUGUGUGCCCAUGGGCAGAAGACUAGAAAGAUCCCAACCAAAAUACAGCAGUGGCAUUGUGGGUGACAUUUGUCAUCUGUACACUUUUCCGCGUUUCUCAAAUUUUAUUUAAUGAUCAUGAAUUUGUUUUGUGUUUUAUUAUUUCAAAAUCUAAAAGGAGAAGAAGAAAAGGAACGAUCAGCAGGUUUCAACAAAGAAACAAUUAUUUGUAACUUACCUUGUUCAUGGUAAAAUAGCUUGUGUGAUUUCAAAAGAGGAUUAUUCUGUUUCCCUCGGAUGUGGAAAUUGCCUGGCUCUCCUCUGAUCCACUGAUGGCAAAGGGACAGCUGAAAGACUCUUAUUAACAUUAUUAAGAUUGUCCUAAAUAAACACAAAAGGAGGCCUUAACAUGACAGUGGGAUACAAAUAACAUUUUUUAUGAUUUAUGUCUUCUCUUCUUUAAUCAAAACGGACUGCUUUAUGUAUGGAUUAUUUUGCUGUGACGAUUUUACCUUUCAGCCUCAUGCUAAUUCUACAAAGCUUGGCAGAUACCCGAUUGUGGCUGCCUUUAGCACUUUUUGUUGCCACUCAUUAUUCCUCUCAGCAUCCCCGAGGUCGAGAGCGCCGGGCUCGGAAAAGAUUGGAGGAAGGCUCUGAUCCAGCGUGGGCACAGCCUCGCUGUGUACACACGGUCAGGCGCCUCGAGUGCUCUGGGUUCCGGCUUCUCCGCUGGAAAGAGAAGCGCGGGUGCUCUUCCUCUCUACCACCUCGGUGAGCACACGGAGAAAAGAUCAUCCACGUGACGGGACUUCACAUUCUAUCGAUUUCCUUCCUCAUUUUUCUGCUUUAGAAGAGGAUGGAAAUCCAGAACUUUCGCUCAGUUCUCUAAACAAAGGCACAGCUUGUCUCUCCCUGGCCCUACGUUUUUGAGUUCUACAGCUCUAGUUUCCACAACCAUUUGGAAUCUCCCUGAUUUCUCAAGAGAGUUCCUGACCUCAGACUGAGGAGUACGUUUUUAUGGCCAGUCCAUAGACAUUAUAAAUGAGGAACUGAGAAAUCUUUAUAAACAAAAAAGAAAACGUCAACAGGAUCUAAGUUAUUGUCACACUGUGCUUCAGUGGAGUGAUGCUCUCUCCACAAAGGCAGCGGCAGGCGCCCUCUGGCUCUGUGACGCCACGAGAUGCUUCUCGUCAUCAGAGCGAUGACUUCAGCUUUUCCAUUCCAGCUUGUGGUGCAAAUGAGUAAGGAACCUGGAUCUGCUCUGGAAGCAGGACACGUGCUCCACACUACUCAGAAGAGGAAGAUUCCUUACAAGAUGGUAUUUCACUCCCCAGACUUCAAGGACUUCCUUCAUCUGUCAGAGUGGCUCUGCAUCGUGUCAUGGACCACCUCAGGAUCACAGUGAGGACACUGUACUGAUCCUACGCAGCACAGGUUUUUUCCCUUAAAUGAGCUCCUCUUCCUGCUGAGUCAUUGCAGUUCAAAUCUCCUAAUCUCACCUCCUUCUCUAAUCCUUUUACCUGAUAGCU